rnacentral:rRNA from 1 species
UACGUAGGGUGCGAGCGUUGUCCGGAAUCAUUGGGCGUAAAGAGCUCGUAGGCGGCCUGUCGCGUCGGAUGUGAAAACCCGGGGCUCAACCUCGGGCCUGCAUUCGAUACGGGCAGGCUGGAGUUCGGCAGGGGAGACUGGAAUUCCUGGUGUAGCGGUGAAAUGCGCAGAUAUCAGGAGGAACACCAAUGGCGAAGGCAGCACUCUGGGACGUGACUGACGCUGAGACGCGAAAGCGUGGGGAGCAAACAGG